rnacentral:lncRNA from 1 species
ACUGAUACCAAAACCAACUUGAUGUCAUGCUCAUUCCAUAGAAAAUAACUACAGUAAAAUAAGAAUCCAAGCACCUUACAAAGUGAACCUUAAUUGAAACAAUAGCAAAAUUAAAAAUUUACUGCCAAAGUGUAAAAUAUCCUCAAUUGAAGUUACAUCAAAUUGAACAAGUUCAUUAAACACACACCACCACCACCACUACUACUACUACUACUAGUAGUUGCAUCCGUUACCAAUUUCAGUUGGAAUAUCAAAACUAAUCAAUACUCAAAGUUGUGCCAGCAUAUUCUGAAAAAGAAAAAAAGAUAACAUAUUAGGCCUUAAAGCUUUAGAAAUAUAAAAAAUAUAUUCAAAAGAGUUAAGUGUGUAAAUUUAUCCUUUUCAACUAUCUCAAGAUUCUGAAUUUCUUCUAAAAGAUCUUCAAGCUUGUAUUCUUUAUAAGUUGAUCUUAACUAUUGCUGAGUGCAAAUAAGAGCUUCUACUGUCUUCGGUGAUAAAGAACUUAGAUAAGAGUCAAGAAUUCGACCACCAGUGCUAAAAGCAAAUUCAGAUGCAACAAUAGAAAUAGGAAUAUAAAGAACAUCUCUUGCAAUUGUAGAGACAAUUGGAUAUCUAGCAGAUGAAAUUUUCCACCAAGCCAAAAUAUUUAAAUCGUUGGUCUUUUCCAAAUCAUCUACCAGGUACUUCUCAAGUUCAGAUUUAUUUUCAAUAUUGACUUUAUCUGCCAAAUAUUUCUUCCAUUGUGAUUGCCAUAUCUCGUCAUUGUCCAGGACAUCAAUUUCAUCCAUCAAGCUCGUUUGACCACCAGUUCUGUCACUAGAAGUCUCACAAAAAGAACUCUUGUAAUGGCCAUACAAGCGAGUCAAAGUAUCCAUCACCUUUUUGGACUGUUGGCCUCCCUCCAAACUACCAUAAGACUUGUUGAAAAGAAAUUCCACAUACUUUAACUUAUAUCGCGGAUCCAAAAUAAUAGCAACAAAUAAUAACUUGUUCAUACUCUCAAAAGUACCUCAAUAUUUUUUAAAUUUAACCUUCAUCUUCUCAGCCAUGCCACUCAAAAUAGAAUCUUCACUGUGACAAUAUUUUCGAAUAAAAUUCUGAAGAUUAAAGAUCUCAUGGAAAAAAGAAUUGAAAGUAAAAUAUGAAGUUUCUGAGAAUUUCAAAGUGACUUGGUAGAAUAUCUUAAGGAACUUAAUAAAAACUUUAACAUUCUUCCAAUCAUCCAUAGAUGGAUGUCCUCCCAUACUAUUCGUCUCUAAACAAUAUUUGAGGUACUUAUGAUCAUAAUCAUACAUUCUUGAAAAUGCCUUUUCAAACUUUACAGUUGUAUCUAGCAUCAUAUAUGUGGAGUUCCACCUAGUCUCAAUAUCUAAAGUCAAAAGACCACGAGUGUCAAUCUUAGCCUUCUCAACAAAUGACUUAAAAGAAUCAAACCUUCCAGCUGAGGACAUAACAUAUUUGACAGCAUUUCUUACUCAAGAAAUGGACUCAUUUUAUUUAGUUAGCCCUUCUUUUACGAUUAAAUUUAGAAUAUGAGCAUUGCAUCUAACAUGCAAGAACUCAUUUCCUUAGAUGCCUCACUUCCAAUCCUCAAUCCUUCUUUUAAGUGUUUAAUUGCAGCAUCAUUAGCUGUUGCAUUAUUUAGGUUCACCGUAAAUAUGUUCUCAAUCCCCCAGUCUAACAAGCAUGCUUCAAUCCCCUUAGCAAUUGUCUCACCUUUAUGAUCCGAUGUUUGAAAAAAGUUGAGAAUUUUCUUUUUAAAAUUCCAAUCAUCAUCAAUCUAAUGAGCAAUAAUAACCAUCUAAGUUAAAUUUUGAAGUGAUGUCCAUGUAUCACUAGUAAGACAUACACGUUGAUUCUGAAUAAGCUUUUUAAGCUUUUCUUUCUCUUCUUGAUAUAUUUUCAAACAUUGCCUAGCAACAGUCAGACGAGAAGGUAAUUGAAAUUUAGGCAAAGAAACUGCCAUUAAUCUCUUAAAACCUUCUCCUUCAACAAUUUUAAAAGGUUGUUCAUCGAUAAUGACAAACUCAGCAAUGGCUCUCAUAAUCUGAUUAACAUUAAACACAAUAUUUUCUAAAGUACAUUUGUUAUAUGCUUGUUUCCCUUUUCUAAUUGGCCUGAAUGUUGAUUUGUUUUUGUCAAUAAUUCUAAAGGGGGAUUUAGGACAAACCUCAUUUAAAUGCUUCCAUUUAGUUGAAGUUCCAUUCUUACUUUCAGAAGAAAAGUUUUUAGAACAGUAGUUGCAUUUCGCCCUAGGCAUAGCCCAUUUAUCAAGAUGUUUGGAAAAGUGCUUCCAAACUUUAAAUGUUUCCCUGCCACUACUCACAAGGCUACAAUCAGGGUCACAAGGAGUUGUUCUUUUAUGAUUCUUAGGAGGAUUAGGAAUAUUAUCAGGGGUGUUGUUAGCAUUAAGCUCAAGUUUCAACAAUGUAAUUGGAGAGACAUAGAAUGAGUAGGAAUUGAAAUGGAACAAAAAAUUCACAAGAUACGUAGUUGUUAAAAUUUUAGCCAAACAAAGGCCAAAAUUGAUUUCUAAAGCAAAAAGAAUCAGAGAGGGGUGCAAAGCAAAUAAAAAGCUAGUUUAGAGGAUAAUAACCACAAUCAAUUAAAAACCAAAAUACCCAAUUUUUCUGUUUUUCCCUUUGUCGCGUACAAGUUGAAAAAUAUAUUAAAAAGUUAAAAUUGGAGUAGUAGUUCUUACCGGGGUUGCCAUUAUUGACGGCAAGAACUAAGAACUUGACAUAGUAUUGUUCCUUUGCUGAAAAUUACGACUACCUUUGGCUUUCGUUGAUAUGAUAUUGACAAUUUGCUUUUCAACUAGGGUUUUGACUUUUCUUUUAACUCUAAAAACUGAAUUC